rnacentral:rRNA from 1 species
GAUGAACGCUCGCUACAGGCUUAACACAUGCAAGUCGCGGGGCAGCAUGGGGGUUGCUUGCAAUCCCCGAUGGCGACCGGCGCACGGGUGAGUAACGCGUAUCCAACCUGCCCUUCACCACGGGAUAACCCGGCGAAAGUCGGACUAAUACCGUAUGUUGUCCAUUGACGGCCUCCGAUUUGGACGAAAGGUUUGGCGGUGAAGGAUGGGGAUGCGUCCGAUUAGCUGGACGGCGGGGUGACGGCCCACCGUGGCGACGAUCGGUAGGGGUUCUGAGAGGAAGGUCCCCCACACUGGAACUGAGACACGGUCCAGACUCCUACGGGAGGCAGCAGUGAGGAAUAUUGGUCAAUGGGCGUAAGCCUCAACCAGCCAAGUAGCGUGCAGGAUGACGGCCCUAUGGGUGGUAAACUGCUUUUAUGCGGGGAUAAAGUGGCCCACGUGUGGGUUUUUGCAGGUACCGCAUGAAUAAGGACCGGCUAAUUCCGUG